rnacentral:rRNA from 1 species
GAUGAACGCUGGCGGCGUGCUUAACACAUGCAAGUCGAACGAUGAAGCCCAGCUUGCUGGGUGGAUUAGUGGCGAACGGGUGAGUAACACGUGAGUAACCUGCCCUUAACUCUGGGAUAAGCCUGGGAAACUGGGUCUAAUACCUGAUAGGAGCGUCCACCGCAUGGUGGGUGUUGGAAAGAUUUAUCGGUUUUGGAUGGACUCGCGGCCUAUCAGCUUGUUGGUGAGGUAAUGGCUCACCAAGGCGACGACGGGUAGCCGGCCUGAGAGGGUGACCGGCCACACUGGGACUGAGACACGGCCCAGACUCCUACGGGAGGCAGCAGUGGGGAAUAUUGCACAAUGGGCGCAAGCCUGAUGCAGCGACGCCGCGUGAGGGAUGACGGCCUUCGGGUUGUAAACCUCUUUCAGUAGGGAAGAAGCGAAAGUGACGGUACCUGCAGAAGAAGCACCGGCUAACUACGUG